GUGGAGACGCCUACCAGGCGACGACGGGUAGCCGGCCCGAGAGGGUGUCCGGCCACACUGGGACUGAGAUACGGCCCAGACUCCUACGGGAGGCAGCAGUGGGGAAUAUUGCACAAUGGGCGCAAGCCUGAUGCAGCGACGCCGCGUGGGGGAUGACGGCCUUCGGGUUGUAAACCUCUUUCACCAUCGACGAAGGUCCGGGUUCUCUCGGAUUGACGGUAGGUGGAGAAGAAGCACCGGCCAACUACGUGCCAGCAGCCGCGGCCG
rnacentral:rRNA from 1 species